GACGAACACUGGCGGCGUGCUUAACACAUGCAAGUCGAGCGGUAAGGCCCGUUUCGGGGUACGACGAGCGGCGAACGGGUGAGUAACACGUGGGUGACCUGCCCUCAGCUCUGGGAUAAGCCGUGGGAAACCCGGGUCUAAGUACUGGAUAUGACUCCAUGACGCAUGUUGGUAGGGGUGGAAAGCCUUGUGCGGCUGAGGAU
rnacentral:rRNA from 1 species